GACAGAGGGUGCAAACGUUGUUCGGAAUUACUGGGCGUAAAGGGCGCGUAGGUGGCCUGCUAAGUCGAACGUGAAAUCCCUGGGCUCAACCCAGGAACUGCGUCCGAUACUGGUUGGCUUGAAUCCGGGAGAGGGAUGUGGAAUUCCAGGUGUAGCGGUGAAAUGCGUAGAUAUCUGGAGGAACACCGGUGGCGAAGGCGACAUCCUGGACCGGUAUUGACGCUGAGGCGCGAAAGCCAGGGGAGCAAACGGG
rnacentral:rRNA from 1 species